rnacentral:rRNA from 1 species
GACGAACGCUGGCGGCGUGCUUAACACAUGCAAGUCGAACGGAAAGGCCCUGCUUGCAGGGUACUCGAGUGGCGAACGGGUGAGUAACACGUGGGUGAUCUGCCCUGCACUUCGGGAUAAGCCUGGGAAACUGGGUCUAAUACCGGAUAGGAGCCAUUUUUAGUGUGAUGGUUGGAAAGUUUUUUCGGUGUAGGAUGAGCUCGCGGCCUAUCAGCUUGUUGGUGGGGUAAUGGCCUACCAAGGCGGCGACGGGUAGCCGGCCUGCGAGGGUGGACGGCCACAUUGGGACUGAGAUACGGCCCAGACUCCUACGGGAGGCAGCAGUGGGGAAUAUUGCACAAUGGGCGCAAGCCUGAUGCAGCGACGCCGCGUGGGGGAUGACGGCCUUCGGGUUGUAAACUCCUUUCGCUAGGGACGAAGCUUUUUGUGACGGUACCUAGAUAAGAAGCACCGGCUAACUACGUG